rnacentral:rRNA from 1 species
GACGAACCGUACGAACGUUAUUCGGAAUCACUGGGCUUUAAGGGCGUGUAGGCGGACCGGCGCGUCCCGUGUGAAAGCCCCCUGGCUCAACUGGGGGAGGUCAUGGGAAACGGUCGGACUGGAGCCCGGUAGGGGGCCAUGGAAUUCCCGGUGUAGUGGUGGAAUGCGUAGAGAUCGGGAGGAACACCUGUGGCGAAGGCGGUGGCCUGGACCGGUGCUGACGCUGAGGCGCGAAGGCGUGGGGAGCGAUCCGG